rnacentral:rRNA from 1 species
UAACAAGGAUUCCCCUAGUAACUGCGAGUGAAGCGGGAAAAGCUCAAAUUUAAAAUCUGGCGGUUUCACCGUCCGAGUUGUAAUCUGGAGAAGCGUUUUCCGUGUCGGACCGUGCACAAGUCUCUUGGAACAGAGCGUCAUAGAGGGUGAGAAUCCCGUUUAUGGCACGGACAACCGAUACUUUGUGAUACGUUUUCUAAGAGUCGAGUUGUUUGGGAAUGCAGCUCAAAAUGGGUGGUAAAUUCCAUCUAAAGCUAAAUAUAGGCGAGAGACCGAUAGCGAACAAGUACCGUGAGGGAAAGAUGAAAAGCACUUUGGAAAGAGAGUUAAACAGUACGUGAAAUUGUUGAAAGGGAAACGCUUGAAGUCAGUCGCGUCUUCUAGGACUCAGCCUUGCUUCGGUUAGGUGUACUUCCUGGUUUGACGGGUCAACAUCGAUUUUGAUCGACGGAUAAAGGAGAAGGGAACGUGGCACCUCCGGGUGUGUUAUAGCCCUCUUCGUAUACGUCGAUUGGGAUCGAGGACUGCAGCACGCCCUUGUGGCCGGGGGUUCGCCCUACGUAUCGUGCUUAGGAUGUUGACAUAAUGGCUUUAAGCGAC